GUUAUAUGGUCAAGCGAAUAAGCGCACACGGUGGAUGCCUAGGCGGUCAGAGGCGAUGAAGGACGUGGUAGCCUGCGAAAAGUGUCGGGGAGCUGGCAACAAGCUUUGAUCCGGCAAUAUCCGAAUGGGGAAACCCACUGCUUCGGCAGUAUCUUGCAGUGAAUUCAUAGCUGCUUGAAGCGAACCCGGUGAACUGAAAUAUCUAAGUAACCGGAGGAAAAGAAAUCAACCGAGAUUCCCUGAGUAGUGACGAGCGAACGGGGAACAGCCCUUAAGCUGGAAUGGCUUUAGAAAAACAAUCUGGAAAGAUUGGCCAUAGAAGGUGAUAGCCCUGUAUUUAAAAGGGCCACUCCAGUGAAGACGAGUAGGGCGGGGCACGUGAAACCCUGUCUGAAUAUGGGGGGACCAUCCUCCAAGGCUAAAUACUCCUGACCGACCGAUAGUGAACCAGUACCGUGAGGGAAAGGCGAAAAGAACCCCGGAGAGGGGAGUGAAAUAGAUCCUGAAACCGUGUGCGUACAAGCAGUAGGAGCUCGCAAGAGUGACUGCGUACCUUUUGUAUAAUGGGUCAGCGACUUACUGUUCGUGGCAAGCUUAACCGUAUAGGGGAGGCGAAGGGAAACCGAGUCUGAUAAGGGCGCAUAGUCGCGGGCAGUAGACCCGAAACCGGGUGAUCUAGUCAUGGCCAGGGUGAAGGUGCCGUAACAGGUACUGGAGGCCCGAACCCACGUCUGUUGCAAAAGACGGGGAUGAGCUGUGAUUAGGAGUGAAAAGCUAAUCGAACCCGGAGAUAGCUGGUUCUCCUCGAAAGCUAUUUAGGUAGCGCCUCGGACGAAUACUACUGGGGGUAGAGCACUGUUAUGGCUAGGGGGUCAUCGCGACUUACCAAACCAUUGCAAACUCCGAAUACCAGUACGUACUAUCCGGGAGACACACGGCGGGUGCUAACGUCCGUCGUGAAAAGGGAAACAACCCAGACCCACAGCUAAGGUCCCAAAUUCACUGCUAAGUGGAAAACGAUGUGGAAAGGCAUAGACAGCCAGGAGGUUGGCUUAGAAGCAGCCACCCUUUAAAGAAAGCGUAAUAGCUCACUGGUCGAGUCGGUCUGCGCGGAAGAUUUAACGGGGCUAAGCAGUGAACCGAAGCUUGGGGUGCGUAAAACUUCGGUUUUAUGCGCGGUAGAGGAGCGUUCCGUAAGCCUGCGAAGGUGGAUUGAGAAGUCUGCUGGAGGUAUCGGAAGUGCGAAUGCUGACAUGAGUAACGAUAAUGCGGGUGAAAAGCCCGCACGCCGAAAGCCCAAGGUUUCCUUGCGCAACGUUAAUCGACGCAGGGUUAGUCGGUCCCUAAGGCGAGGGCGAAAGCCGUAGUCGAUGGGAAGCAGGUUAAUAUUCCUGCACCUCGCGUGAGUGCGAUGGAGGGACGGAGAAGGUUAGGUGUACCGGGCGUUGGUUGUCCCGGGGAAAGGCGGUAGGUUUGGAUCUUUGGCAAAUCCGGGAUCCUUUAAGACCGAGCACCGAGACGAGCCUUUAUGGCGAAGUCACUGAUACCACGCUUCCAGGAAAAGCUCCUAAGCUUCAGCUCACGAAGACCGUACCGUAAACCGACACAGGUGGGUAGGAUGAGAAUUCUCAGGCGCUUGAGAGAACUCGGGUGAAGGAACUAGGCAACAUGGCACCGUAACUUCGGGAGAAGGUGCACCCUUUUUGGUGGCUCAUGCGAGCUAUAGCUGAAGAGGGUCGCAGAAACCAGGCCGCUGCGACUGUUUAUCAAAAACACAGCACUCUGCAAACACGAAAGUGGACGUAUAGGGUGUGACGCCUGCCCGGUGCUGGAAGGUUAAUUGAUGGGGUCAGCCGCAAGGCGAAGCUCUUGAUCGAAGCCCCAGUAAACGGCGGCCGUAACUAUAACGGUCCUAAGGUAGCGAAAUUCCUUGUCGGGUAAGUUCCGACCUGCACGAAUGGCGUAACGACAGCGGCGCUGUCUCCACCCGAGACUCAGUGAAAUUGAAAUCGCUGUGAAGAUGCAGCGUUCCCGUGGCAAGACGGAAAGACCCCGUGAACCUUUACUAUAGCUUUACACUGAACGUUGAGUUCGUCUGUGUAGGAUAGGUGGGAGGCUAUGAAACUGUGGCGCUAGCUGCAGUGGAGCCAACCUUGAAAUACCACCCUGUCGUGCUUGACGUUCUAACCUAGAUCCGUUAUCCGGAUCAGGGACCGUGUAUGGUGGGUAGUUUGACUGGGGCGGUCUCCUCCUAAAGAGUAACGGAGGAGCACGAAGGUACGCUCAGCGCGGUCGGACAUCGCGCACUGUGUGCAAAGGCAUAAGCGUGCUUGACUGCAAGAUCGACGGAUCAAGCAGGUACGAAAGUAGGUCUUAGUGAUCCGGUGGUUCUGUAUGGAAGGGCCAUCGCUCAACGGAUAAAAGGUACUCCGGGGAUAACAGGCUGAUACCGCCCAAGAGUUCAUAUCGACGGCGGUGUUUGGCACCUCGAUGUCGGCUCAUCACAUCCUGGGGCUGUAGUCGGUCCCAAGGGUAUGGCUGUUCGCCAUUUAAAGUGGUACGCGAGCUGGGUUCAGAACGUCGUGAGACAGUUCGGUCCCUAUCUGCCAUGGGCGUUGGAAGUUUGAGAGGGGCUGCUCCUAGUACGAGAGGACCGGAGUGGACGAACCUCUGGUGUUCCGGUUGUCACGCCAGUGGCAUUGCCGGGUAGCUAUGUUCGGAAGCGAUAACCGCUGAAAGCAUCUAAGCGGGAAGCGCGCCUCAAGAUGAGACUUCCCGGGGCACAAGCCCCCUAAAGGAACCAUAUAGACUAUGUGGUUGAUAGGUCAGGUGUGUAAGUACAGCAAUGUAUUGAGCUAACUGAUACUAAUGAUCCGUGCGGCUUGACCAUAUAACCUCA
rnacentral:rRNA from 3 species